rnacentral:rRNA from 1 species
UACGUAGGGUGCAAGCGUUAAUCGGAAUUACUGGGCGUAAAGCGUGCGCAGGCGGUUUGGUAAGUCUGACGUGAAAUCCCCGGGCUCAACCUGGGAAUUGCGUUGGAUACUGCAAGGCUAGAAUCUGGCAGAGGGGGGUAGAAUUCCACGUGUAGCAGUGAAAUGCGUAGAGAUGUGGAGGAACACCGAUGGCGAAGGCAGCCCCCUGGGUCAAGAUUGACGCUCAUGCACGAAAGCGUGGGGAGCAAA